UUUGUUGUGGCCGAGUGGUUAAGGCGAUGCACUAGAAAUAUUUUGGGAUCUUCCCGCGCAGGUUCGAAUCCUGCCGACAUCG
rnacentral:tRNA from 1 species